UACGGAGGGGGCUAGCGUUGUUCGGAAUUACUGGGCGUAAAGGGCGCGUAGGCGGCGUAUCAAGUUGGAAGUGAAAGCCUGGGGCUUAACCUCAGAAUUGCUUUCAAAACUGGUACGCUUGAGAACGGUAGAGGAUGGUGGAAUUCCUAGUGUAGAGGUGAAAUUCGUAGAUAUUAGGAGGAACACCGGUGGCGAAGGCGGCCAUCUGGGCCGAUUCUGACGCUGAGGCGCGAAAGCGUGGGGAGCAAACAGG
rnacentral:rRNA from 1 species